CUGCCAGUAUGUUGACUCCCUGUACAAUACCUCUCCCUUUCACUUCACUCUAAGUACUCUUAACAAUAUCUUGAAAUAUAGUUUCUGGUUUUGUUUUCAGUCAAGUCAUAUUAUUGAGGACUGCAAGGUGGGAGAUGCAACAAUGGUCUUGAGAACAGCUGGAAGUGUGUUGGUGGUCUUUCUCUGGUCUGUAACAGUGGUACUGGGUCAGGAUGGCUGGAGUGUUACAUACACCACUCAGAGUAUCUGUACCUUGAAGGGGUCAUCAGUGGAUCUGUUCUGCUCUUACACAUAUCCCAGUGGUUAUACGGUCACAACAACCUUCUGGUUCACUAAGAUUGUAAAUCUGAGAGACGACCCAGACAACAAAGGUCGUGUGACGUACCGUAGAGAUAGGAUGAAUGUCCACACCCUGAGAAUCACAGACCUGAGAGAGAGUGACUCAGCUGAGUACAAGUUCAGAUUUAUAACAGGUCAGACUGGAGAGAAAUAUACUG